UAGGGAAUCUUCGGCAAUGGACGAAAGUCUGACCGAGCAACGCCGCGUGAGUGAAGAAGGUUUUCGGAUCGUAAAACUCUGUUGGUAGAGAAGAACGUUGGUGAGAGUGGAAAGCUCAUCAAGUGACGGUAACUACCCAGAAAGGGACGGCUAACUACGUGCCAGCAGCCGCGGUAAUACGUAGGUCCCGAGCGUUGUCCGGAUUUAUUGGGCGUAAAGCGAGCGCAGGUGGUUUAUUAAGUCUGGUGUAAAAGGCAGUGGCUCAACCAUUGUAUGCAUUGGAAACUGGUAGACUUGAGUGCAGGAGAGGAGAGUGGAAUUCCAUGUGUAGCGGUGAAAUGCGUAGAUAUAUGGAGGAACACCGGUGGCGAAAAGCGGCUCUCUGGCCUGUAACUGACACUGAGGCUCGAAAGCGUGGGGAGCAAACAGGAUUAGAUACCCUGGUAGUCCACGCCGUAAACGAUGAGUGCUAGAUGUAGGGAGCUAUAAGUUCUCUGUAUCGCAGCUAACGCAAUAAGCACUCCGCCUGGGGGCAGUACGACCG
rnacentral:rRNA from 1 species